rnacentral:misc_RNA from 1 species
AUUGUCCCUUGGGACACCGCUUUCAAAAUUAAGCACAUGCUCACAGUUUUUCUCAGCUUCAUGGCUUUCAAACUCAAGAAUUUGCCCAGCAGUAGUUCCAAGCUCAUUGGCCUCAAUGUUUAGCACUUGGUCACCAUCGCUCUCAGUGCCAUUGCAUGUAAUAUCAAAGACUUCCUCACUGGCAGCCUCAUUAUCACUUCCCUCACCCACGGGAAGUUGUUCACUGGUUCCCAUGCCUUCCUCCAUCUGAAGCCUUUCAAGUAGGGCAAGA